AAAUUGAAGAGUUUGAUCAUGGCUCAGAUUGAACGCUGGCGGCAGGCCUAACACAUGCAAGUCGAACGGUAGCACAGAGAGCUUGCUCUCGGGUGACGAGUGGCGGACGGGUGAGUAAUGUCUGGGAAACUGCCUGAUGGAGGGGGAUAACUACUGGAAACGGUGGCUAAUACCGCAUAACGUCGCAAGACCAAAGAGGGGGACCUUCGGGCCUCUUGCCAUCAGAUGUGCCCAGAUGGGAUUAGCUUGUUGGUGAGGUAACGGCUCACCAAGGCGACGAUCCCUAGCUGGUCUGAGAGGAUGACCAGCCACACUGGAACUGAGACACGGUCCAGACUCCUACGGGAGGCAGCAGUGGGGAAUAUUGCACAAUGGGCGCAAGCCUGAUGCAGCCAUGCCGCGUGUAUGAAGAAGGCCUUCGGGUUGUAAAGUACUUUCAGCGGGGAGGAAGGUGUUGUGGUUAAUAACCGCAGCAAUUGACGUUACCCGCAGAAGAAGCACCGGCUAACUCCGUGCCAGCAGCCGCGGUAAUACGGAGGGUGCAAGCGUUAAUCGGAAUUACUGGGC
rnacentral:rRNA from 1 species